rnacentral:rRNA from 1 species
CGAGGCGAACCGGGGGAACUGAAACAUCUCAGUACCCCGAGGAAAAGAAAUCAACCGAGAUUCCCCCAGUAGCGGCGAGCGAACGGGGAGCAGCCCAGAGUCAACAUCAAUAUUUACCGCAGGAGAAGGGUCUGGAAAGGCCAGCAAUAAAGGGUGAUAGCCCCGUAUCUGAAACGGUAAGUGUUGUGAACUCGAAGAGUAGGGCGGGACACGUGUUAUCCUGUCUGAAUAUGGGGGGACCAUCCUCCAAGGCUAAAUACUCCUGACUGACCGAUAGUGAACCAGUACCGUGAGGGAAAGGCGAAAAGAACCCCGGCGAGGGGAGUGAAAUAGAACCUGAAACCGUGUACGUACAAGCAGUGGGAGCACCCGAAAGGGUGUGUCUGCGUACCUUUUGUAUAAUGGGUCAGCGACUUAUAUUCUGUAGCAAGGUUAACCGCAUAGGGGAGCCGUAGGGAAACCGAGUCUUAACUGGGCGUUAAGUUGCAGGGUAUAGACCCGAAACCCGGUGAUCUAGCCAUGGGCAGGUUGAAG